GCCAGUGUGGUGUAGUGGUUAGAGCAUUAGACUGUGACUUUGGAGGCCAGGAGUCAAAUCCCCACUCGGAUG